rnacentral:rRNA from 1 species
UACGUAGGGUGCAAGCGUUGUCCGGAAUUAUUGGGCGUAAAGAGCUCGUAGGCGGUUUGUCGCGUCUGCUGUGAAAACUGGAGGCUCAACCUCCAGCCUGCAGUGGGUACGGGCAGACUAGAGUGCGGUAGGGGGAGAUUGGAAUUCCUGGUGUAGCGGUGGAAUGCGCAGAUAUCAGGAGGAACACCGAUGGCGAAGGCAGAAUCUCUGGGCCGUAACUGACGCUGAGGAGUGAAAGCGUGGGGAGCGAACAGG